rnacentral:rRNA from 1 species
GAUGAACGCUGGCGGCGUGCUUAACACAUGCAAGUCGAACGAAGCACCUUGAUUUGAUUCUUCGGAUGAAGAUCUUGGUGACUGAGUGGCGGACGGGUGAGUAACGCGUGGGUAACCUGCCUCAUACAGGGGGAUAACAGUUAGAAAUGACUGCUAAUACCGCAUAAGACCACAGUACCGCAUGGUACAGGGGUAAAACCUCCGGUGGUAUGAGGUGGACCCGCGUCUGAUUAGGUAGUUGGUGGGGUACCGGCCUACCAAGCCGACGAUCAGUAGCCGACCUGAGAGGGUGACCGGCCACAUUGGGACUGAAACACGGCCCCAACUACUACGGGAGGCAGCAGUGGGGAAUAUUGCACAAUGGGGGAAACCCUGAUGCAGCGACGCCGCGUGAGCGAUGAAGUAUUUCGGUAUGUAAAGCUCUAUCAGCAGGGAAGAAAAUGACGGUACCUGACUAAGAAGCACCGGCUAAAUACGUGCCAGCCGCCGCCGUAACAC